CAUGGAGGGUGAGAAUCCCGUCCGGCUAAAUCGAGGUCGUAUUACGAUGCGCUUUCUAAGAGUCGAGUUGUUUGGGAAUGCAGCUCAAAAUGGGAGGUAAAUUUCUCCUAAGGCUAAAUAACGGCGAGAGACCGAUAGCGAACAAGUACCGUGAGGGAAAGAUGAAAAGAACUUUGAAAAGAGAGUUAAACAGUACGUGAAAUUGUUGAAAGGGAAACGAUUGAAGUCAGUCGUACCGACGAGAAAUCAGCUCUUUGAGUGUGGACUUGUGGACGUGCGUGAGUCCAUUACGGGCCUCGCUGUUUGCAUGUUUGUGCUUUUUGGGUGUUCUUUUUCGUAUGGUUGGCCAACGUCAGUUUCGAUUACCAUAAAAUGACCGGCGGAAUGUAGCUUCGAUUUCGGUUGAAGUGUUAUAGCCUUUGGUAGAUGUAGUGAUUGAGACUGAGGAUCGCAACGAAUAUCCUUUGGGCUAUCCGUCUGAUCUCUGAUAGUUACUCAGGUGCCGAAAGCGUGCUUACGGUAAUCUAAGUUGACGGUCAAUAGGUUAGAACGUGAUUACAUUCGUUAAGGAUGUUGACGUAAUGG
rnacentral:rRNA from 1 species